rnacentral:rRNA from 1 species
ACUGAACGCUGGCGGCAGGCUUAACACAUGCAAGUCGAGCGGGGUGAUGGUGCUUGCACUAUCACUUAGCGGCGGACGGGUGAGUAAUGCUUAGGAAUCUGCCUAUUAGUGGGGGACAACAUCUCGAAAGGGAUGCUAAUACCGCAUACGUCCUACGGGAGAAAGCAGGGGAUCACUUGUGACCUUGCGCUAAUAGAUGAGCCUAGGUCGGAUUAGCUAGUUGGUGGGGUAAAGGCCUACCAAGGCGACGAUCUGUAGCGGGUCUGAGAGGAGGAUCCGCCACACUUGGACUGAGACACGGCCCAGACUCCUCCGGGAGGCAGCAGUGGGGAAUAUUGGAAAAUGGGGGGAACCCUGAUCCAGCCAUGCCGCGUGUGUGAAGAAGGCCUUAUGGUUGUAAAGCACUUUAAGCGAGGAGGAGGCUCUUUUGGUUAAUACCCAAGAUGAGUGGACGUUACUCGCAGAAUAAGCACCGGCUAACUCUGUGCCAGCCGCCGCCGUAA